rnacentral:rRNA from 1 species
ACGAACGCUGGCGGCGCGCCUAACACAUGCAAGUCGAACGGAGCUGAGAGAAGCUUGCUUUUCUUAGCUUAGUGGCGAACGGGUGAGUAACGCGUGAGUAACCUGCCCUGGAGUGGGGGACAACAGUUGGAAACGACUGCUAAUACCGCAUAAGCCCACGAUCCGGCAUCGGAUUGAGGGAAAAGGAUUUAUUCGCUUCAGGAUGGACUCGCGUCCAAUUAGCUAGUUGGUGAGGUAACGGCCCACCAAGGCGACGAUUGGUAGCCGGACUGAGAGGUUGAACGGCCACAUUGGGACUGAGACACGGCCCAGACUCCUACGGGAGGCAGCAGUGGGGGAUACUGCACAAUGGGGGAAACCCUGAUGCAGCGACGCCGCGUGGAGGAAGAAGGUUUUCGGAUUGUAAACUCCUGUCGUUAGGGACGAUAAUGACGGUACCUAACAAGAAAGCACCGGCUAACUACGUG